rnacentral:rRNA from 1 species
GCACGAAUGGCGUAAUGAUGGCCAGGCUGUCUCCACCCGAGACUCAGUGAAAUUGAACUCGCUGUGAAGAUGCAGUGUACCCGCGGCAAGACGGAAAGACCCCGUGAACCUUUACUAUAGCUUGACACUGAACAUUGAGCCUUGAUGUGUAGGAUAGGUGGGAGGCUUUGAAGCGUGGACGCCAGUCUGCGUGGAGCCAUCCUUGAAAUACCACCCUUUAAUGUUUGAUGUUCUAACUCGGCCCCGUGAUCCGGGGUGAGGACAGUGUCUGGUGGGUAGUUUGACUGGGGCGGUCUCCUCCCAAAGAGUAACGGAGGAGCACGAAGGUUAGCUAAUCACGGUCGGACAUCGUGAGGUUAGUGCAAAGGCAUAAGCUAGCUUGACUGCGAGAGUGACGGCUCGAGCAGGUACGAAAGUAGGUCUUAGUGAUCCGGUGGUUCUGAAUGGAAGGGCCAUCGCUCAACGGAUAAAAGGUACUCCGGGGAUAACAGGCUGAUACCGCCCAAGAGUUCAUAUCGACGGCGGUGUUUGGCACCUCGAUGUCGGCUCAUCACAUCCUGGGGCUGAAGUAGGUCCCAAGGGUAUGGCUGUUCGCCAUUUAAAGUGGUACGCGAGCUGGGUUUAGAACGUCGUGA